rnacentral:tRNA from 1 species
GCCCUAGUAGCAUGGUGGUUAAAGCACUCGACUGCUAAUCGAAAGAUCAGUGGUUUAAAACCACCAGUGGCC